GACGAACGCUGGCGGCGUGCUUAACACAUGCAAGUCGAACGGAAAGGCCCUGCUUGCAGGGUACUCGAGUGGCGAACGGGUGAGUAACACGUGGGUGAUCUGCCCUGCACUUCGGGAUAAGCCUGGGAAACUGGGUCUAAUACCGGAUAGGAGCCAUUUUUAGUGUGAUGGUUGGACAGUUUUUUCGGUGUAGGAUGAGCUCGCGGCCUAUCAGCUUGUUGGUGGGGUAAUGGCCUACCAAGGCGGCGACGGGUAGCCGGCCUGGGAGGGUGGACGGCCACAUUGGGACUGAGAUACGGCACAGACUCCUACGGGAGGCAGCAGUGGGGAAUAUUGCACAAUGGGCGCAAGCCUGAUGCAGCGACGCCGCGUGGGGGAUGACGGCCUUCGGGUUGUAAACUCCUUUCGCUAGGGACGAAGCUUUUUGUGACGGUACCUAGAUAAGAAGCACCGGCUAACUACGUG
rnacentral:rRNA from 1 species